GCCGAAAGUGGAGCACUUGACAAGAAGGAACAGGAAGGGAUACUUCCUGGGCCUGAGAAGGAAAAGAUAGUGCCUGGACACCAGAUGUGUGCAGGCGCUCCAACAUGACAGUAUGCCAGCACAGAAGGACUCCGCCACCUGUAGCAACCGCGAUGAAGCUCUAUGACAUCACCACACACGCCAAUAGCUCUGGUUCCAAAUGAUUGAGCAUUUGGGAAGCACCUCCAUCCUCCUGCACAAUGCUCUGCAGAGAUCAUGGGCUUCUGGCACCUGUGUGGGAAUCAGGGCCACGCAGAGGAGUGUGUUUCCGAAUGGAAUUCAUCCUCAGUGCCGGGCUGGCUGAUUAAGUCCACAGGAAAGGAAGAAAUCAGAGUAAAAUGAAACAGAAGAGGAGGGUGAAGCACACUGUCAAGCCAAGAAGGCUGGGCUGCUGGAACGCAGGAUGCACAAUGUGUAGUCCCCCAGCUUCUCCAUGGAUGCACAGGGGAGUAAGAGAAGAGGGGAUGUACAGCCAGCCCUCCCAUUCAUUCACCCAGAGGGGAGGAGAGCCCAGCCUGGGAACCACGACAGACAAGAUGCUCAUUAAUACCAACAAAGAGGCAGGAACCAUCAAGUCUCUUCUGAAAUCCCCAGCUUCCAGCAAGGACAUCUUGCGAACUGUUGUUUCCCGGUCCUAGCCCUACCAGAGCAGUUGAUGCCUCCUGUUCUCACCAGCGUAGGUUCUUCUA